UAUAACCUACGGGACGCAGCAGUGGGGGAUAUUGCACAAUGGGGGGAACCCUGAUGCAGCGACGCCGCGUGGGUGAAGGAGCGUUUCGGCGCGUAAAGCCCUAUCGGCAGGGAAGAAGGAGGACGGUACCUGACUAAGAAGCCCCGGCUAACUACGUGCCAGCAGCCGCGGUAAUACGGAGGGGGCAAGCGUUAUCCGGAUUUACUGGGUGGAAAGGGGGCGCAGACGGGAGCGCAAGCCAGGAGUGAAAGCUCGGGGCCC
rnacentral:rRNA from 1 species